CAACUAACCUGUUUCAGACUCUCAGAGCCGUCUGGAAGCCUGGUGACAAUUGCAGCAUUUAUUUCAUCCAGGAUCUUGUCUGUCUGUGGUAUAUCAUUUUUUAAAGAGAAUAUUAAUUCAUGUUGUUACAAACUAUGUAUAGUGUGUAUGUUUUGUGGGUGUGUAUAUACUAAUAUAUAUAAUAUAUAUAUGAAAGAGAGAUUUAGUGACUUUUGAUACGGGUUGGUGCAGGUGAAUUUAUUACUGAGCCACUUGAGGCACAUAUCGAGUCUGUAGUGGAGUCCAGGGCAGUCAUGGUUUGCAUUCUUCUGUAGUGCCCGUCCUAUGCAGUAAGGAUCAUCACUGGCGUGCCACAUCCAGCACUCACAACUCAGAACCAGCAAUAUUUUACUUGUAGACAAUCAGCUUGAAUCUAUAGAUCAUGCCUGGCCAAUGAUUAUAACUCUGAAUCCAUAACACUCGCAAAAGGAAACCCAGAGCAUCUUGAAGAGAUGAUUGGUUUCGUUUGGUUUUGUGCCUGGCAGUCAGUACAACAGCAAUCGUACAUGGUUAUGUUUAGUCUAAGAUCCUUAACUUGUUGACAUUAUUAUUAUUUUGGAAAUUUUUUGUAUUAUAUUUGUGGGAAGGUAAAAUAAUGGUUUAAGAUUUUUAUCAAAUAUGGAGAUUAGUUAUUUAUGAAAAACAAAGAAAUGUCUAUUUUUGUUUCUUUGUUCAGAAUUAAUGUAGAUAACUUUUUUAAAUGGCAUUAAAGCAAUGGUGAAGAAAAUA
rnacentral:lncRNA from 1 species